rnacentral:rRNA from 1 species
CCUACGGGAGGCAGCAGUGGGGAAUCUUGCGCAAUGGGCGAAAGCCUGACGCAGCAACGCCGCGUGCGGGAUGAAGGCCUUCGGGCUGUAAACCGCUUUCAGCAGGAACGAAAAUGACGGUACCUGCAGAAGAAGGAGCGGCCAACUACGUGCCAGCAGCCGCGGUGACACGUAGGCUCCAAGCGUUGUCCGGAUUUAUUGGGCGUAAAGAGCUCGUAGGCGGUCUAAUAAGUCGGGUGUGAAAACUCUGGGCUCAACCCGGAGACGCCAUCCGAUACUGUUAUGACUUGAGUUCAGGAGGGGAGCGGGGAAUUCCUAGUGUAGCGGUGAAAUGCGCAGAUAUUAGGAGGAACACCGGUGGCGAAGGCGCCGCUCUGGACUGAAACUGACGCUG